rnacentral:rRNA from 1 species
UUCGAUGCAACGCGAAGAACCUACCUGGUCUUGACAUCCCGGAGACCCUUAGGAAACUAAGGGGGUGGCUUCCAUCUGGAAGAAUCUGGAGACAGGUGCUGCAUGGCUGUCGUCAGCUCGUGUCGUGAGAUGUUGGGUUAAGUCCCGCAACGAGCGCAACCCUUGCCUUUAGUCGCCAGCAGUUCGGCUGGGCACUCUAAAGGGACUGCCGGUGUUAAACCGGAGGAAGGUGGGGAUGACGUCAAGUCCUCAUGGCCUUUAUGACCAGGGCUACACACGUACUACAAUGGCCGAUACAAAGGGCAGCGACACUGCGAGGUGAAGCCAAUCCCGUAAAAUCGGUCUCAGUCCGGAUUGGAGUCUGCAACUCGACUCCAUGAAGUUGGAAUCGCUAGUAAUCGUGGAUCAGCAUGCCACGGUGAAUACGUUCCCGGGCCUU